AUUGCUUCUUGGCCUUUUGGCUAAGAUCAAGUGUAGAACCUGACAACUCUACCUAGUAAAGUAUUGAAAAAUACCUGUAUUAUCACUACUAUUUAACUCACAUGUGAAGAUUUUGAUUUAAUUGGCCUAUGGGAGGUCCUGAGCCAAGUGUUU
ensembl:snRNA U2 U2 spliceosomal RNA